GCGUCUGUAGCUCAGUUGGUUAGAGCACCACCUUGACAUGAUGGGGGUCGAUGGUUCGAGUCCAUUCAGACGCACCA
rnacentral:tRNA from 2 species